rnacentral:lncRNA from 1 species
UCUCUCUCUCUCUCUCUCUCUCUCUCUAUCUCGGCCGAACUCAGAAAACAGAGCAAAGCUCUCCGUUCUCUCUCUCGCUCCACCGGCCACCAAUCAGCACCAGACCACCUCCCACAGCUUCAACUCUAUCUUGCGCAGCUCCUGUGGCAGUCUUGGGUCGCUGCACGGCCGGCAGCGGCUGCGAAGAGCCCAGUUUCGUUUUAAACCCGAUUUGGGUCCAAUCGUGAUAACUCGAGCUACAAGCCAUCAAUCCUCACCAAACUCCAUCCACGAGCUCACCUCAACCUCCUGAAGCUCCCAGAAGCAACCUUGCACGGCAGAGUGGUCUGUGGCGGCGGCUGCAAGUCAACCCCGACUUAGAUCGAACGAAACUUUCGAUCCGGAUAUCCCAAGCUGUAGAGCUUCGUUUUGGGUGAUUCUUAAACUGGGGAGUUCGCCUUGAGUUUAUGAACAAGUUUCUAGAAGAGAUCGAGGCGUGUGGUUGAAGUUUUUAUAUCGAACUAGGAGUCGCCGGUUUCUGGGUAUUUUCCGGCCACCUCGACUGGUUCUAGGUGAUUGACGGUUUGAGUUGGUGGACGAUUGUGAAUCGUAGUUUGAGCUGUUAAGAAGAUGCAGCGGGAUUAGAGCGGAUAAUCCUGCAGGUCAGGAGAACCAAGGUGGUGAUUGGCCUGCUUAGGGCAGUGUCAUUCGAGUCACAGCAUUAUUGUGAGUUUCGCUAUGUUCAUUUCAAACUUUACAAUUUGGAAUUUGUGAGAGUGUGCUGUAAUAAGAAAAUUGAGGAGUUGGGUUAUGUAAUAUUGAGUGGUGUGAGGUGUGUUACUCUGAAAAAAAAAAAUUUAGAUUGGUAUUUGUAUUUGUGAUUAUUCAUGUUUCGGAUUUGAAUUGGUUAUUCAAAAUUCGGGGCGUGACAGAAACUAUGGCCUUAUAAAUAUUGGAACUCAGAAUCACUCAAGCUACAAUGGUCACAUGUCUUUGGAUUCAAGUUUGGAUGCUAAUCAAUCCUACAACCUUAUGAAUAUGGAAGGUAGUGGGAAUCAAGUGAAUCAUAUUAAUUCCAUGUUUUGGAAUUCCUUUUAAGGUGUGCAAAUAUCUAGUUGACAUGUUAUCAUUUAUAUUGUCCAAUUACCCUUGUUUCAUUUCUCAGAAAGAAUGA